rnacentral:lncRNA from 1 species
CGGCUCCUUGCACUGGGUGAAUGUGUCAAAGGAGAGUGCGCCCUCGCAGUGAGGGGGAGGCACUUCCACUCCCCAAAGUAAUUCCCUGCUCUUCAGUCAUAAUGGAAGUCCCUUCUCCAGGUGGGAAUCCCAGGCUUUUUCUCUCCAAAUCAGCUUGGGACCAAUUAAGACAGCCCCAAUAGAAAAAAGAGGGACCAGCGAGCAGGCUAUUGCUCUCUCCCCAUAGGGUGGGAGGUUGACGCAGUUUCUCAUCACACAACGUGUAUGGUACUCAGGAUUGAAAAAAAAAAAGAAGGCUUUUGUGACCAGGCGCUAAGGAAAGGAGCUGUAUUUUAUUUCUAUCAUAAAUCUGUUUUGUUUUAUGGCCUGGCCAUAAAACCUUAAAAUGACAUUUUAAAUCCGGACUCUCUAACAUGGAUCCAUUUUUGUGGAUUGCAGCCAACGUGACCUGCAGGCCCCUGCAGUGGGGUUGCCAUUCACACUUGUCAUCUUUAAAGUUUGGAGAGGUCAUGAAGUGAGGAGCUAGAAUGGUUAAUUUCUCAACUUUGCUGGAGGUAAGGAAUGGUUUCUGAGAAGAUUGCCCGUGACCUGCCACCCAUCAUACUGAUUUGGGUAUCGUCAGCUGUUUCGUUAAGGGCUGUUGCCACUCCCAGUCACUCGUGGCUCUUCAUUCUUGCUGCACAAUCAGCAUGAGCUGUUGUGGGAACUGAGCCACCCCAUGGGUGAUUGCUGGGCACCAGUGCCACCUGUCAGCUUGGGUUGCCUCCCAGUUAAUGACAGCUAUGCCGCACUUGCAAGACUGCCUCAAAGUGUCCUUGACAGAUUCUGUUUCCUGCUUCAUUUCCCAGUCACGGUGCACAUGCAGUUGGAAUAUUUUACUCCACUUUUUUCAUGCUUUCACAGUUUGUGACUAGAAGUCUGCUGUAAUUCAUAUCCUCGUUCCACUAUAGGUAAGGUAUUUUUUUCCUUCUGGAAAAAUUAUCUUUGUUGUUUGUUGUUUUCAGAUUGAAAUUAUAUACCCAGAUGUAGGUUUGGGGGUGGGGAGUUGUUUGGUUGUUUGCUUUUUAGGGGAGGCUAUUUACCCUACUUUUGCUCUCUUAACUUCCUGAAUCUGUGGUUUGGUGUCUGCCAUUAAUUUUGCAAAAUUCUUGACCAUUAUUGUUUAAAAUAUGUUUUCCCUGUUUUCUCUUUGUUUUCCUUCCAGAUUCCCAUUAUGCAUCUGAUAUACCUUUUGAAAUUGUCUUCCAGUUCUUGGAUACCUAUUUUGAUUUUUUACUCUUUUGUUCUCUUUAAAUUUCAUUUUUGGAAAUUUACAUUAGUCUGUGUCAGAUCCUGAGGUCCAGGUGUAGCCCAGGCUGAAGUCUGAGGGGAGUGGGUGGAUGAGCAGAAGGAACACUUGG